CCGGGUUGCCGGGGAGGGUGGCCUGAUCGGCCAUGCCCGCCAGGACGUGCGCGCCGAGCGAGGCGUUCCGCCGGUUCGGCGCCGGCCAGGCAGGUC
rnacentral:tRNA from 1 species